rnacentral:rRNA from 1 species
UCUCGUCCUUUUGGGUUCGGAAUACUCCGGGAAACUGGAGCUAAUACCGGAUGGUUCCUACGGGAUAAAGAUUUAUCGCCAAAAGAUGAGUCCGCGUACGAUUAGCUAGUUGGUGAGGUAAUGGCUCACCAAGGCGACGAUCGUUAGCUGGUCUGAGAGGACGAUCAGCCACACUGGGACUGAGACACGGCCCAGACUCCUACGGGAGGCAGCAGUGGGAAUAUUGGACAAUGGGGCAACCCUGAUCCAGCCAUGCCGCGUGAGUGAUGAAGGCCUUCGGGUUGUAAAGCUCUUUUGGCGGGGACGAUGAUGACGGUACCCGCAGAAUAAGCCCCGGCUAACUUCGUG